CCAUAGAGGGUGUCAAAGAGAAGAAGAAGAAGGUUCCUGCUGUGCCAGAAACCCUUCAGAAAAAGAAAAGGAAUUUUGCAGAGCUAAAGAUCAAGUGCCUGAGAAAUAAGUUUGCCCAAAAGAUGCUUCAAAAGGCAAGGAGGAAACUUAUCUGUGAAAAAGCGAAUAGGCAGAUGUACAGAACUGAAAUUUGAAUAGUGAGGGGGGCAAGAAAAGCUGGCAACUUCUAUGUACGUGCAGAACCCAAAUUGGCAUUUGUCAUCAGGAUCAGAGGUAUCAAUGGUGUGAACCCAAAGGUCCAAAAGGUGUUGCAGCUUCUUCGCCUUUGUCAAAUCUUCAAUGGAAACUUUGUGAAGCUUAACAGGGCUUCAGUUAACAUGCUGAGGAUUGUAGAGCCAUAUAUUGCAUGCGGGUACCCAAAUCUGAAGUCAGUAAAUGAACUAGGCUACAAGCGUGGUUAUGGCAAAAUCAAUAAGAAAAGAAUUGCUUUGACAGACAACGCUUUGAUUGCUUGAUCUCUUGGUAAAUAUGGCAUUAUCUGCAUGGAGGAUCUGAUUCAAGGGAUCUAUACUGUUGGAAAAGUCUGCAAAAAAACAAAUAACUUCCUGUGGCCCUUCAAAUUAUCUUAUCCACGAGGUGGAAUGAAGAAAAAGGCCACCCAUUUUGUAGAAGGUGGAGAUGCUGGCAACAGGGAGGACCAGAUCAACAGGCUUAUUAGAAGAAUGAACUA
rnacentral:lncRNA from 1 species